rnacentral:rRNA from 1 species
AUUGAACGCUGGCGGCAGGCCUAACACAUGCAAGUCGAGCGAGCGGCGGACGGGUGAGUAAUGUAUGGGGACUGCCCGAUAGAGGGGGAUAACUACUGGAAACGGUAGCUAAUACCGCAUACUAUCGGAUAACCCAUAUGGGAUUAGCUAGUAGGUGAGGUAAUGGCUCACCUAGGCGACGAUCCCUAGAGGGUUUGAGAGGAGGAUCAGCCACAUUGGUAUGUGGACACGGCCCAGACUCCUGCGGAGGCAGCAGUGGGGAAUAUUGACCAAUGGGCGCAAGCCUGCUGCAGCCAUGCCGCGUGUAUGAAGAAGGCCCUAGGGGUGUAAAGUACUUUCAGUCGGGAGGCGUUACCGACAGAAGAAGCACCGGCUAACUCCGUGCCAGCCGCCGCGGUAAUUC